rnacentral:rRNA from 1 species
AAAUGAAUAGACGGGGACCCGCACAAGCGGUGGAGCGUGUUGUUUAAUUCGAUGGUAAACGAAGAACCUUACCAAGGCUUGAAAUCCUGGGAAGCACUGCGAAAGCAGAGUGUGCCUUCGGGAACCCAGUGACAGGUGCUGCAUGGCCGUCGUCAGCUCGUGUCGUGAGAUGUAUGGUUAAGUCCAUUAACGAGCGCAACCCUUAUGUUUAGUUGGAUUUUUCUAAACAGACUGCCCUGGCAACAGGGAGGAAGGGGGGGAUGAUGUCAGGUCAGUAUUGCCCUUACGCCUUGGGCUACAAACACGCUACAAUGGCCGGUACAAAGGGCUGCCAACCCGCAAGGGGGAGCAAAUCCCAUCAAAGCCGGUCCCAGUUCGGAUUGCAGGCUGAAACUCGCCUGCAUGAAGUCGGAAUCGCUAGUAAUGGUAGGUCAGCAUACUACCGUGAAUACGUUCCCGGGUCUUGUACACACCGCCCGU